AUACGGAGGAUGCAAGCGUUAUCCGGAUUUAUUGGGUUUAAAGGGUUCGUAGGCGGAAAAUUAAGUCAGUGGUGAAAGCCUGCAGCUCAACUGCAGAACUGCCAUUGAUACUGAUUUUCUUGAAUUUAUAUGAAGUGGGCGGAAUGCGUCAUGUAGCGGUGAAAUGCACAGAUAUGACGCGGAACACCAAUUGCGAAGGCAGCUCACUAAUGUAAUAUUGACGCUGAGGAACGAAAGCAUGGGGAGCGAACAGGAUUAGAAACCCUAGUAGUCC
rnacentral:rRNA from 1 species